UGCAAGGUGCCCCUUUACUAGGAGUACUUAAAUGUUUUUAAAUGAAAGCUCUAUCUUUAAUAACAAAAAAGUUAUGCAAAAUUUUCGAUCUAAAAAAGUACAUGUUAAUUGUAAAAAACCGAAAUUUAGAUUUUUCUCAAAAACUAUAAUUUUUUCAAUUUUAAUAAUUAUGUGCAAGGUGCCCCUUUGCCAGGAGUGCUUGGCAGUUUUUAAAUGAAAGCUCUAUCUUUAAUAACAAAAAAGUUAUGCAAAAUUUUCGAUCUAAAAAAGUACAUGUUAAUUGUAAAAAACCGAAAUUUAGAUUUUUCUCAAAAACUAUAAUUUUUUCAAUUUUAAUAAUUAUGUGCAAGGUGCCCCUUUGCCAGGAGUGCUUGGCAGUUUUUAAAUGAAAGCUCUAUCUUUAAUAACAAAAAAGUUAUGCAAAAUUUUCGAUCUAAAAAAGUACAUGUUAAUUGUAAAAAACCGAAAUUUCGAUUUUUCUCAAAAACUAUAAUUUUUUCAAUUUUGAUAAUUAUGUGCAAGGUGCCCCUUUGCCAGGAGUGCUUGGCAGUUUUUAAAUGAAAGCUCUAUCUUUAAUAACAAAAAAGUUAUGCAAAAUUUUCGAUCUAAAAAAGUACAUGUUAAUUGUAAAAAACCGAAAUUUCGAUUUUUCUCAAAAACUAUAAUUUUUUCAAUUUUGAUAAUUAUGUGCAAGGUGCCCCUUCACUAGGAGUACUUGACUGUUUUUAAAUGAAAGUUCUAUCUUUAAUACCAAAAAAGUUAUGCAAAAUUUUCGAUCUAAAAAAGUACAUGUUAAUUGUA